AUACAGAGGGUGCAAGCGUUAAUCGGAUUUACUGGGCGUAAAGGGCGCGUAGAUGGCUAAUUAAGUCAAAUGUGAAAUCCCCGAGCUUAACUUGGGAAUUGCAUUCGAUACUGGUUAGCUAGAGUAUGGGAGAGGAUGGUAGAAUUCCAGGUGUAGCGGUGAAAUGCGUAGAGAUCUGGAGGAAUACCGAUGGCGAAGGCAGCCAUCAGGCCCAAUACUGACACUGAGGUGCGAAAGCAUGGGGAGCAAACAGGAUUAGAUACCCUGGUAGUCCAUGCCGUAAACGAUGUCUACUAGCCGUUGGGGCCCUUGGGGCUUUAGUGGCGCAGCUAACGCGAUAAGUAGACCGCCUGGGGAGUACGGUCGCAAGACUAAAACUCAAAUGAAUUGACGGGG
rnacentral:rRNA from 1 species